rnacentral:lncRNA from 1 species
UCAACGCGCAGCAGGUGCAGCAGCACUGCCCCAUGUGCCGGCAGGAGUGGAAGUUCAAGGAGUGAGGCGCCCAUGCUGCACCUGGACCCCUCUCCCCCACCCCAAGAUGGCCCUGAGUCCCCCUUUUCCUAGUGGGACCUGAUGGCCAUGGUCUGGAGACAGUCCUUGGGCUGUGACAGGGUUGAAACAAGGACCGGAGCCUGUUUGUUGUUUUCCAUCACAAUGCUGACGCUUUUAUUCAAUAAAUAAAACUCAUUAAAGUACCUGAGCCUUGCUGGAGGCUUUGGCUGCCUGUGUCUUGGCACAUUGAUGAAGCUGCAGUGUUUUGAUAUGAAAACUCUCAUGAAUAAACAUCUUGAUGAAACACCGCUGAAGUCCUGAGUCACAGUUCUGGGAAAAGAGUGCAGAAUCAUGAAAGAGCCUGGGGCAGGGCAUGGCCAAAUCAAGGCCCCGGAAUGGAAUAUGUGUGUGCCAACGGGAGCCACAGCAGCCAUGUCCUGUCAGUGGGCUUCUUAAUGGCUGUCACCCCCAGAACCCUCACUCAGGCCUUGGCAGGAGGAAGAUGUCCCCGAGCAAGUUCUGGUAGUGUCAGGUGGGCUGCAGAUGGCUAUGGCAUUCUGUUCUCACAGAACCUUGUCCUUUGUUCAAACUGAAGACCAGGUCCAGUGCAGGCUCUCCAUGUUGGGAUGUCUCCAGGUGUCCUAGGGAAGGACACCUCUCAGGAGGCUCCUCUGGUCCCCACAGCCAAGAGAAGGCACCUACGGAGGGACCAGCAGCCCACUGCCGUCCUUCCUAUGCUGUUCUUAGUAGCUUCUGCUACUAGGCACUCGGAACCCGGGCCCAGCGUGAGCCAGCAUGGGGCCCCACUCCUGGGAACCUAACCUGGGAACCAGUUCUGCCCUCGUCCUCUCUGAAGCAUCUUCUCAUGAGACAGGACAUGUCUGCCAGGGCUCAGGCUCCUCAGGCUAACCUCUGAACCCUCUAUCGCCACAAAGCCUCCCUCUUGGCUUCCCUGCCAUUUGAGUUCCCACUGAGUUCCACCUGGGUCCUUUCCUGCGGGUCAGCUCCACCCAUCUCUGGUCUGCUCACCAGACCUCCCAGAAUGUUGAGUUUCUCUGGAGAUCACAAACCUAGUAGCCACCCCACUCUGCACAUGGGGGCUCCAGUUCCUGCCCUUUGAUCCCAUUGUUCUGCUGCCUGCCUCCUCCCAGGUCAGGACCUCUGUAAAGUCCUCAUCAAACCCUGUAGCAUUCCCCCCUCUUAGCCCCCUGUUCCAGGAAGCCACAGAAACUCCUGUGGGAGGGUCACCCCACUGGUCUCUGCAGACUCUUCCCAAGCAUCCUCUUACCUCCCUGGGAGGACCCCUUCCUUACUCCCACCUGUCCUAGGCAGGGACUGAGCCCUGUUUGUGGCCUUGGCCCUGGCAUGCAGGUGGUGUUCAGUAUGUCUUAUUUCUGGGCAGUCUCCUGUGUGCCCAGUAUUGGCUGAAGGAAUGCAGGGAAGGCUCCAGGUGGAAGUAUCUCAGAGACCACCAUACAGGGUCAGAGCUGGGCAGGGAGCCGCC